rnacentral:rRNA from 1 species
GACGAACGCUGGCGGCGUGCCUAAUACAUGCAAGUAGAACGCAGUUGCGAACGGGUGAGUAACGCGUAGGUAACUGCCUGGUAGCGGGGGAUAACUAUUGGAAACGAUAGCUCAUACCGCAUACUACCAGAUGGACCUGCGUUGGAUUAGGUAGUUGGUGAGGUAACGGCUCACCAAGGCAAAGGGCCAUAGCCGACCGGAGAGGGGGAUCGGCCACCAUGGGACCUGGACACGGCCCAGACUCCUACGGGAGGCAGCAGGAGGGAAUCUUCGGCAAUGGGGGGAACCCUGACCGAGCAACGCCGCGUGAGUGAAGAAGGUUUUCGGAUCUUAAAGCUCUGUUGUUAAGGAAGCGGUACUUAACCAGAAAGGGACGGCUAACUACGUGCCAGCAGCCGCGGUAAUAC